rnacentral:lncRNA from 1 species
CAUAAACGGCUCUGUUCUUGAAAUCCACCAUUCUCCACCAUAAACACCUCUAAUUCCUAUUGCCCCUUUUUUGAUCUCUCCUCUUAGCUGGCUCCCUUCCAACUUGGCCCCAUAUCACCUACAAGUUUUUCUCACUAUCAGAACCUUAGACCUUUCUGCCCUGGUCACUUUACCAUUUCCCCCUUCUUUCCACCCUAUAAGCUAAUCCGUAGCCACUUUCUUCAUUUCUACGGGAAAAUCAUUAUGGUGAUUGGUAAUUUAACAGAGCUUCACUGACUCUCUAAGGAGCUGCUAGUUUGUUGCAGAGAUUCCACCAUAAUCCUGGCACUAAUAUCUUAAGAUCUAAGCAAUAACUCUGGUCCCAAAGUUUUGAACUGAUAUAAGCAGACUUGAGUAGUCCCUCCACUCUCUCUCUCUCNNNNNNNNNNNNNNNNNNNNCUAAUACCUCGCGACUAACUAAUACUUAAGUAAUACUAAGUACGAAUAACUACUACGUCCGUAACGUUUACGUUAACGUACGUAUAUAAGUACAGACUAGUAGUAGUCCUCCACCUCUCUCUCUCUCUCUCUCUCUCUCUCUCUCUCUCUCUCUCUCACAGUAAUAACCAACUUUACAAAGAUAUUUUGGGGAUCAUAUGAGAACUUCAGCAACUAGAGACCCUUCAACUCAAUGAAAAUCCUAAAUUCCCCACUCAAG